GCGGAGGCCAAAGCAGCCGAGGCAGCAGCGAGUGCCACCUGUGCUACACUGCCUCCUACACAUGUGUACCUGCCACAGGACAAGCCUCCCCCCUACUCUCCUCCAGAAGACAAGAAGAACCAGUAGACCUGCUUAAUCUCGCCCUCCCUCCUCUUGUUCUCCUGUAUCCUCCAUCCUACUGGACCACCUCGUUUCUCAUUCCAUUAACUGGGCAUCAGGAGGACAAAGUAUUCUUUUUUUAACAUUAUCCCCUCUUCUUGUCUUCCUAGUCCCCUCAUCCCCUUUAAGUCUUCUCAUUCCAUUGCUUUCCUGCCUCAGUCUAUAUACCCUCUGCAUUCCUUGUAACUAUUCUUAUCUUGUAAUCAGCUUCAUUCUCUUCAGAAGCACCUUUACUUGAUGGUAGCAGAGUAGAAGUAUUGGUAGCAAUCUUUGACAGAGAGAAGAUUGCUGAGGCCAAAGUGGUCAGGAUUUUGGGGCUUUUUGACAAAAACUGUAACCUGACUAACUAUUUUAGUAUUUCUCGCCUUGCAAGUGUCCCAAGAAUCAUACGCCACCUUAAACUUUAGAUUCAGCGAUGCUGUGAAGCUCAUUUACAAUUUUCUAUGACUGUGUAUUAAACUUGACUCAGUCUAAUAAUUCCUUUGCUAACCUGUCUGAGAAGAGCUGGAUGCAGUCUUUUAUUUUUCUAUGAUUUAUGUGUACAGGCUUUUAAUAUGUAGACUUUUAAAAUGAGAUAUUUUCUCAAGAACACUAACCUUAAGAAUAAAUAGCUUUUGUAAGGAGAGCAGAUUGCAGGGUGGUCUGGUCUGCUUUGUGGACGAGAGGACCACGAAGAUUAGAGCGGCGUCGAGUGAAUCCCUGAUCCUGGAUUAGAGCAGAGAGCGAGGGGGGGCCUGCAGGGACAGUCGGCCAGGACGGAUUAUCUUUAUAAUGUGCAAGAGCAGACCCAAUGAUGUCACUCACUGUUUUGUCAUGCUCCUGAACGUUUGAGAAAACACAGUCAGACUCACCGCCAGCCUGCUUCACCUUCCAUGCUCCUAAUGUACAUUUCUACCAUUAAAGAUACAAACAGAACCGUCAGAGCAGUUUCUCAUCGUUUUUACUUUCCGUGGUUGUGAUCUUAACUCUCCAGUUUGAGGUCCGUCUUUCGAUCUGAUCUGAGCACCUCAGUAUCUGAGCCUCUACUCUUUCUUCCUUCCUCUGUGGUCAUUAAUCUAUAUACUGUAUCUGUGGCACAUCCGUGGCUGAUUCUUUGCACUUUUAGAAUGCUAUGCAUCGGGCUCCUGUUUGCUCUGUUAUGGCUGUGUGUAAAAUACAAAUAAAGCUCUGUAUUUAUUUCAAACUAAUUUAUUGAAUAAUUAAUGUAAAAUGGCUCAAGUAAGAAAACAAAGCAUGAUCUCAACUAAUGCAUGUGUGCAUUGGAUAGGAUUUUAUUAAAUGAUUCAUGUGGAA